UGAGUACGAGAUGCUACGGCAUCGAAGCAGUCUAUGUCAUACUUCCAAGAAAAGCUUGCAAUGUCAUAAACAAAUAAUGCCUGUACCAUAACCGACACAGGUGGGUAGGUAGAGUAUACUAAGGGGCGCGAGAUAACUCUCUCUAAGGAACUCGGCAAAAUGACUCCGUAACUUCGGGAGAAGGAGUGCCUUAUUUUUAUAAGGUUGCAAUAACAAGAUCCAAGCAACUGUUUACCAAAAACACAGGUCUCCGCUAAGUCGUAAGACGAUGUAUGGGGGCUGACGCCUGCCCAGUGCCAGAAGGUUAAAGAAGUUGGUUAGCAUUAGCGAAGCUGAUAACUGAAGCCCUGGUGAACGGCGGCCGUAACAAUAACGGUCCUAAGGUAGCGAAAUUCCUUGUCGGGUAAGUUCCGACCCGCACGAAAGGCGUAAUGAUUUGGAUACUGUCUCGGAGAGGGGCUCGGUGAAAUAGACUUGUCUGUGAAGAUGCGGACUACCUGCACCUGGACAGAAAGACCCUAUGAAGCUUUACUGUAACUUGAGAUUGAAAUUGGACUUUAUCUGCGCAGUAUAGGUGGGAGACGUUGAAAAUAUUCUUGCGGGAAUAUUGGAGUCAUCAGUGAGAUACCACUCUUAUAAUGUUAGAUUUCUAACUUUGUAUCAUUAUCUGGUCAAAGAACAGUUUCAGGCGGGCAGUUUGACUGGGGCGGUCGCCUCCCAAACGGUAACGGAGGCGCACAAAGGUUUCCUCUGAACGUGUAGAAAUCGUAUCUAGAGUGUAAAGGCAUAAGGAAGCUUGACUGUGAGACCUACAAGUCGAGCAGGGACGAAAGUCGGUCUUAGUGAUCUGACGGUGCUGAGUGGAAAGGCCGUCACUCAACGGAUAAAAGUUACUCUAAGGAUAACAGGCUGAUCUCCCCCAAGAGUUCACAUCGACGGGGAGGUUUGGCACCUCGAUGUCGGCUCAUCGCAUCCUGGGGCGGUAGUACGUCCCAAGGGUUGGGCUGUUCGCCCAUGAAAGCGGUACGCGAGCUGGGUUCAGAACGUCGUGAGGCAGUUCCGUCCAUAUCCGGUGUAGGCGUUAGAAUAUUGAGAGGAGCCUUCUUAGUACGAGAGGACCGAGAGGGACAUACCUCUGGUGUACCAGUUAUCGUGCCAACGGUAAACGCUGGGUAGCCAUGUAUGGAGAGGAUAACCGCUGAAAGCAUCUAAGUGGGAAGCCCACCUCAAGAUAAGUA
rnacentral:rRNA from 1 species